GAUGAACGCUGGCGGCGUGCCUAAUACAUGCAAGUCGAGCGAACAGACGAGGAGCUUGCUCCUUUGACGUUAGCGGCGGACGGGUGAGUAACACGUGGGUAACCUACCUAUAAGACUGGGAUAACUUCGGGAAACCGGAGCUAAUACCGGAUAAUAUUUCGAACCGCAUGGUUCGAUAGUGAAAGAUGGCUUUGCUAUCACUUAUAGAUGGACCUGCGCCGUAUUAGCUAGUUGGUAAGGUAACGGCUUACCAAGGCAACGAUACGUAGCCGACCUGAGAGGGUGAUCGGCCACACUGGAACUGAGACACGGUCCAGACUCCGACGGGAGGCAGCAGUAGGGAAUCUUCCGCAAUGGGCGAAAGCCUGACGAAGCAACGCCGCGUGAGUGAUGAAGGUCUUCGGAUCGUAAAACUCUGUUAUUAGGGAAGAACAAACGUGUAAGUAACUGUGCACGUCUUGACGGUACCUAAUCAGAAAGCCACGGCUAACUACGUG
rnacentral:rRNA from 1 species